UCUACGAGAUUAAAAAACAGACUAUAAGCACAGCUUGUAUCUUGUGACUCAGAUAAUCAUAUAAUUUUUUGUUUGCAGAAACUUACCCAAACCACCAUUGAAACCGAAUUUCAAUCCUCAUUGCCCACGCGAAGAAGCAAGAAGCUUGAUCAGCAACAAAACAUACCCAGUCCCCGCUAGAAAGAAACCGGUCAAAAAAGUUAAAGAACAACAAUCCGACUCGCCAAUGCUGGUAAUCAGAGCUUUAGACAAAACAUUCACAAAACAGCUGUCCCUAUCAGAAAUAAUGCACGUUGAUAUAAAACCCGGUAAAAGAAUUACUGGUACACCCAGUUUCUGUCCGCCUAACUACAAGGGAUUAUCACCGAAACUCAUGAGCAUUCGCACACCUGGAUAAAUUGGAAACGUACUUUUUUAGCAACGGUGAAUAUAGUUUUUUUUUUUUAAGGAAAUUUUUCGUAAUUUGCUGUGAGAAAUGUUUUACUUUUUUAUGUUUUCCCAUUAGUGGUUUGAGUAAUGGGAAUUUGGGUACGGAUAAAGCAAUGCUAAAGAUUUUUUUUUGUAAUUCGUUUUUUUAUUAUUGUUGGAAAAAUGUGUUGUUUUUUUUUUAUUUUCUGAAUAAUGGGAAAUUAAGGAUGUGGAAAUUAUUGCAUUUUUUGUGAGUUUUUGACGGAUAUUUUUGAGUUAAUUAGCAUAUCUACUAUCUUAUCUGUACUCACCGAAAUAUGACUGAAUUAUAAAACAGAUUUUUGAUUUCCUGCCGACAUUUUAGCUUUGUUUAUUCGCACUCAAUUUUUUUCCAGAUGGGAAUUUUAAUUUUCCGAAUGGGAAUUCAUUAUUAUUUAAUUUUGCUGAAAUUGGCACACAUAUUGACCGUGCUAUUUGAUCUCUGCAAUUUAAGUAAUAUGGGAAUUAGUGGUCCUCCAAUGGGAAAAUAUAAAUUAUUGUGUUUUUUAUAUAAUGGGGUUGUAAUAAAAAUGUAACUGAUUUAAAUUGUA